UUAUGCCAAGUGCCGCAGCAGGGAAACUCGGACCCCCAAAGGGAGUUUGUGCUGGAAGAGGGAGAGAAGGAAUGUGACUCUUGGCUAAAAGGACACAGCAGUGGGGGCAGGAAAGGGGGGAGGGAACAAAGGAAGGACAAUGGUUACCUCUGGGGGCAAGGUGAGUCCAGACUGGCUGUGCCUGGCUCAUGUUUUUCCUGUAUUCCCCACUUUUUCCUUUUAACCUCCAACAUUUUUCAGUUUGAAAAGUAAAGUGUCUUUUUUUUUAAGAAGAAGGCGAAUAAAAGAAGCCAAGAACAGUAGAAAAGAGGAAGAGAGGAAGGUGACCACACACUCACUGAUUCAUUCACAAGCAGAGAGGAGAAGGGAAGCGAGGAGGGAGCUCAUCUGACAUUGGCUUUGAGAACAUUUGUUGGCCGUGCGCCUCUGUUGUACUUACCUAACAUCUCUCUCCAAGCUUUAUUAUCCUCAGCAGUAAAAUGGAAAAAUAAUACCUGAUCUACAAGACUGCUGUGAGGGAAAAAAGAACUGAAGCAUGUUAAGAGGCUUCCAAGAGGUAGGUGCUCAAUAAAUAGUAGCCAUUGGGAAGCCCGAGAGUUCCAAGGAUCUCUGCAGUCAGGGAUACCCGGGGCCAGAGCUGGGCUCCACCACGGACCAGCCCGUGAGCACUGCAAGUUAUUUCACCUUGCUGAGCUUUGUGCACAAAUGGGGAGAAUAGGACACAACUGUCAGGGCUGUGAAGAGGAAUUACUGAGAUAAAGGUUUACACUCAGCCCAAAGUCAGGCUCCUUGUAGAAGCACAGCAAAUGUUAACAGUGGCUGUAACACUGCUGGUGGUAAUGGUGGGGACAAAGGAAGAGAGAAGGAAAAUCCAUUCAUUUAUUCAACAAAUGGUGAUAGCAAGCCACCAAUGUGAAAGCAAUGAUUAUUCACAGUUAUCGGGGAAUAGAUAAGAACCAAAGGUACUGGUGGGAAAAGAUUGGAAGAUUCUGGAAGGAUAUCAUACAUGAAAAGGUGGAGAUC
rnacentral:lncRNA from 1 species